UUUUCGGAUUAGAAAGGUCUUCACAUUGGUCGAGUUUGGUGCUAAUUACAAGUUUGAAUGUGGAAAUUUUCAUAAUUCACCAAUUUGAAAUUCGUGAAAAAGCAGCAGAACGCCAACUUGUAUUCAGUACCAAAUGAGAGCGUGAUGCACCAUUCUGACCUUACACCCGGGCAUACAAACAUUUUGAUUGAUUGUUGCUUGGUCGUUCUAUGGUCAACCGAAGUGAUAAGUUGUGCAAAUAUCUAAUAAUCGUUAUUCAUUGACGAUAGAAAAAUGCACAAGUUGAUGGGCCUUCGUGGGCAUUGAGUAGGGUAUUCGCUCCAUGAAAAAAAAAGAAAAUGCUGUCGCACUCACGUCGCCUACAAUCAAACAUAACUACGAAGCUGUUGAUGGCCAAUUUUUCACUAUUCCUCAUUCAACACGACCUUCGGAUACAUGUAUUGUCUUCUCUUUUUUUUUCAAUUUCAAAUAGACAUCGUCAUCAACCAGACAUCAAAAGAUCAUAGCUGCUGCAACUUCACAUAACAAACAAUUUACAAGUGUUAAUUGGUCAAAAGCUAUUGUCGAAGAUAUGAUGUUGAUAGUAGCGUGAACUGUGCAUAACAGACAUUAUCAAACCGUUAAGUAUUCUUUAUAUUUCUGUCGAGAAAAACUGCGUCUUGUCACUUUUGUGGCCGAUAAUCUCCUUUGCAACACACAGUUUUUGUUUUAGAGCAUCACAUUCGUAAAUGUUGAGUCAACAUGAAAAUCUCACGUAUGAUUUGGAAACCAUGGAACACUCGUCAAUGAAUACUAAUAAUUGUGGUAAAUUCGUUCAACUCUAUAUUGUCGAAAAGCUUUUUUUUGUUUGUAGAGUUCGUUGAAGUUGAAAUCAUAGAAUGACAGAAGAACAUUAAAAAUCGUUCGAAGAUAUUCUUGAAGUAGCACGUGAUCAUCGUAGUGGUAUAUUGUUGCAACGUAAUCAAAUAUGCGAAAGUUUUUUGUUUUGUUUCAGUGAAGCGUGUACUUUGGGAACACAUCUUCAAGUGUUGCCUCGAAUGAGCUAGAUAGCUGUGCGAAUAAUGAGAAAAUAUAAUUCGUAAGAUAUCGUUGAAUUUUGUUUCCACAACGAUUUUUUUUGUUUUUGCAGUAUGUUUCGGAUCUUCAUAUUAAAGCAAAAAAAAAACCUA